ACCGAAAUGGUUCAGUUGGGAGGGCGUUAGACUAUAAAUCGAAGGUCCCUGGUUCGAUCCUGGGUUUCGGCA
rnacentral:tRNA from 1 species